rnacentral:rRNA from 1 species
UACGGGGGGGGCAAGCGUUGUUCGGAAUUACUGGGCGUAAAGGGCUCGUAGGCGGCCAACUAAGUCAGACGUGAAAUCCCUCGGCUUAACCGGGGAACUGCAUCUGAUACUGGAUGGCUUGAGAUUGGGAGAGGGAUGCGGAAUUCCAGGUGUAGCGGUGAAAUGCGCAGAUAUCAGGAGGAACACCAGCGGCGAAGGCGGUGCUCUGGGCCGGAACUGACACUGAGGAGCGAAAGCGUGGGUAGCAAACAGG